GUCCGCAUUCGGAGGUGGCGCGGUUCCUCGCCGGGGAGCGACCGGUGACGGUGGUCGCGCCGGGAUCGGACAAGCGGUUCGAGCUCACCGUGCGGGUCCC
rnacentral:tRNA from 1 species